rnacentral:rRNA from 1 species
GGGAUUAGAUACCCCACUAUGCUUAGUCGUAAACUUAAAUAAUCCUAAAACAAGAUUAUUCGCCAGAGUACUACCGGCAACAGCCCAAAACUCAAAGGACUUGGCGGUGCUUCAUAUCCCUCUAGAGGAGCCUGUUCUGUAAACGAUAAACCACGAUUAACCUCACCAAUCCUUGCUACUUCAGUCUAUAUACCGCCAUCUUCAGCAAACCCUAAAAAAGGAACGAAAGUAAGCACAACUACUGCACGUAAAAACGUUAGGUCAAGGUGUAACCUAUGGAUUGGGAAGAAAUGGGCUACAUUUUCUAUAAUAAGAACACCCCUUAAACUCACACGAAAGUUUUUAUGAAACCUAAAAACUAAAGGAGGAUUUAGCAGUAAAUUAAGAAUAGAAUGCUUAAUUGAAUAAGGCCAUGAAGCACGCACACACCGCCCGUCACCCUCA